UAUAACUGUAUUGUAAUUUAGGUCUUGCUGAGUUUGAAAAAUGACGUUUCUGAGGACAUGGCUUCAGAAACGUCAUUUUUCAAACUCAGCAAGACCUAAAUUACAAUACAGUUAUA
rnacentral:miRNA from 1 species